AGCUCCAAUAGCGUAUAUUAAAGUUGUUGCAGUUAAAAAGCUCGUAGUUGGAUCUCAGGUCCCGGCUCGCGGUUCACCUCGCGGUGCUUACUGCCCGUCCGGACCUACCCGCCGGUUCUCCCUUGGUGCUCUUCACUGAGUGUCUCGGGUGCCCGGAAAGUUUACUUUGAAAAAAUUAGAGUGUUCAAAGCAGGCGCUUCGCCUGGAUAAUGGUGCAUGGAAUAAUGGAAUAGGACCUCGGUUCUAUUGUGUUGGUUUUCGGAGCUCGAGGUAAUGAUUAAGAGGGACAGACGGGGGCAUUCGUAUUACGGUGUUAGAGGUGAAAUUCUUGGAUCGCCGUAAGACGAACUACUGCGAAAGCAUUUGCCAAGAAUGUUUUCAUUAAUCAAGAACGAAAGUA
rnacentral:rRNA from 1 species